AGAGUUUGAUCAUGGCUCAGAAUGAACGUUGGCGGCGUGGAUUAGGCAUGCAAGUCGAACGCGAAAAGGGGCAACUCUUAGUAGCGUGGCGAAAGGGGCAGUAAUACAUAGGUAACCUACCUUCGGGUCUGGGACAUGCGGGUGAAAACCCGUGCAAUACUGGACGCCAUUACGGGGGGGCAUCCUCCUGUACUGAAAGGUUACGCCCGAAGAGGGACCUAUGCUCUAUCAGCUAGUUGGUAAGGUAACGGCUUACCAAGGCGAUGACGGAUAGGGGGUGUGAGAGCACGACCCCCGUCACUGGCACUGAGAACUGGCCAGACUCCUACGGGAGGCUGCAGUCGAGAAUCUUCGGCAAUGGGCGAAAGCCUGACCGAGCGACGCCGCGUGGAGGAUGAAGGCCUUCGGGUUGUAAACUCCUGUUGGGGGGGAACAAAUCAAUGAGUGAACCCCUGAGGAAGCACGGGCUAAGUUCGUGCCAGCAGCCGCGGUAAGACGAACCGUGCGAACGUUAUUCGGAUUUAUUGGGCUUAAAGAGUGCGUAGGUGGCAGUGUAAGUCGGAGGUGAAAUACUAUCGGCUCAACCGUGGAAUUGCCUUCGAUACUGCAUUGCUUGAGGGGGAUAGGGGCAAGUGGAACUUCCGGUGGAGCGGUGAAAUGUGUUGAGAUCGGAAGGAACGCCAGUGGCGAAAGCGACUUGCUGGGUCUUCUCUGACACUGAGGCACGAAAGCUAGGGGAGCAAACGGGAUUAGAUACCCCGGUAGUCCUAGCCGUAAACGAUGGGUACUGGGUAGAAAGUGUUCCGAUGGCACCUUCUGCCGAAGCGAAAGUGUUUAGUACCCCGCCUGGGGAGUAUGGUCGCAAGGCUGAAACUCAAAGGAAUUGACGGGGGCUCACACCAGCGGUGGAGCAUGUGGCUUAAUUCGAGGCUACGCGAAGAACCUUAUCCUAGGCUUGACAUGUACGGAUUAGCUGGCGGAAACGUCAGUAACACUCGCAAGAGCGGAACGUACACAGGUGCUGCAUGGCUGUCGUCAGCUCGUGUUGUGAGAUGUCGGGUUAAGUCCCUUAACGAGCGAAACCCUUGUCCUUAGUUACCAGCGGGUUAUGCCGGGAACUCUAAGGAGACUGCCGGUGUUAAGCCGGAGGAAGGUGGGGAUGACGUCAAGUCCUCAUGGCCUUUAUGCCUAGGGCUGCACACGUGCUACAAUGGAGCGUAACAAAGGGAAGCAAAACGGCGACGUCAAGCAAAUCCCAAAAACCGCUCCCCAGUUCAGAUUGCAGGCUGCAACUCGCCUGCAUGAAGCCGGAAUCGCUAGUAAUCGCAGGUCAGCCAUACUGCGGUGAAUGUGUUCCUGAGCCUUGUACACACCGCCCGUCAAGCCACGAAAGCGAGGGGCAUCCGAAGUCGCUGUGCUAACCGUAAGGGGGUAGGCGCCGAAGAUGAAACUCGUGAUUGGGACUAAGUCGUAACAAGGUA
rnacentral:rRNA from 1 species